rnacentral:rRNA from 1 species
CAAUAGCGUAUAUUAAAGUUGUUGCAGUUAAAAAGCUCGUAGUUGGAUUUGUGGCGUGCGGUGUGUUCCGGGCACUUGUUGUCUGAGUAACCUGCUGUUGCCAUCCUUGGGUGGAACCUGUGUGGCAUUAGGUUGCCGUGCAGGGGAUGCCCAUCAUUUACUGUGAAAAAAUUAGAGUGUUCAAAGCAGGCUUAUGCCGUUGAAUAUAUUAGCAUGGAAUAAUGAGAUAGGACUUUUUUGCUAUUUUGUUGGUUUGCGCAAGAAGGUAAUGAUUAAUAGGGACAGUUGGGGGUAUUCGUAUUCCAUUGUCAGAGGUGAAAUUCUUGGAUUUUUGGAAGACGAACUACUGCGAAAGCAUUUACCAAGGAUGUUUUCAUUAA